rnacentral:rRNA from 1 species
GAUGAACGUUGGCGGUGUGCCUAAUACAUGCAAGUCGAACGGAGUUAAUAGCAAUAUUGACUUAGUGGCGAACGGGUGAGUAACGCGUUGGUGAUCUGCCUCAAAGUGUGGAAUAACGUUCCGAAAGGAACGCUAAUACCGCAUGUGCUCUCGAUUUUUAGAAAGUUGAGAGUAAAGGAUUUAUUCGCUUUGAGAGGAGCCUGCGUCCCAUCAGCUAGUUGGUAGGGUAAUAGCCUACCAAGGCGAUGACGGGUAGGGGACCUGAGAGGGUGGCCCCCCAAAUGGAACUGAAACACGGUCCAUACACCUACGGGUGGCAGCAGUAGGGAAUAUUAGUAAUGGGGCAAAGCCUGAACUAGCAACGCCGCGUGUGCGAAGAAGGCCUUCGGGUCGUAAAGCACUUUUUGAGAGGAUGAGGAAGGACGGUACUCUCAGAAUAAGUCUCGGCUAACUACGUGCCAGCAGCCGCGGUAAGAGUGUGUGUA